rnacentral:rRNA from 1 species
AUAAUAAUUUAAUUUUUUUUUAUUGUCUUAUUAGUAUAUAUAUAAUUAAUUUAUUUUCAUUUUUUCUGUCUAAGUUUUAUUAAAUGAUUAUUUUAAUGGUAGUUAAUUUUUAAUGUAAGUGAAUAUUUAAAAUAUUUGUUAAGGAUUUUUAUUUUAUUUUACCUUUUGUAUCAGGGUUAAUUAAAUAAUUUUUUUUUAUUAAAUUUUCUCGAAUUAUAAAGAUUUACUUUAUUAUGAUUUUUGUUGUUUCAUAAUCAUGUUAAAUAUUAAGGUAGUAGAGAAACUCUAUUCGUUUUGUAAUAUAUCUAGUUUCCUAAGAUUAAAUUAAAUUUGAUUGAGGUUUUUAUUAUAAUAAUUUGAUGUUAUAUUAUUAAUUUCUUUUUAUAAUUUAGGGGUUAAGCUCUAAAUUUUACUAUAAUUUUUAUUUUGUUCAUUAAAUAUUUAUAGGCUUGGAAUUAGCCAUUAUUUAAAGUGUGUUUUAUUUUAUAUUAUUUGUUUAAUUAUUUAUUAUUUUAUUUAGUUUUAAUAUUAGGAUAUUAACUUUUAUUAUUGUUGUUAAUUAAUAAUGAUUAAAUUAGUAUAUUUUUUUUUGUUUGUUUAAUAAUUAAAUUAAAUUUAUUAAAAGGAACUUGGCAAUUUUUUAAUAUUUUCGCCUGUUUAUCAAAAACAUCUUUUGUAGUUAUUUAUUAUAAAUAUAACCUGCUCACUGAUUAUUUAAAGAGCUGCAGUAUUUUGACUGUACAAAGGUAGCAUAAUCAUUAGUAUAUUAAUUGUAUACUGGAAUGAAAGGUUGGACGAGAAAUAUACUGUCUCUUAAUAAUAUAUAUAAUUUUACUUUCUAGUAAAAAGGCUGGAAUUUUAUUUUUGGACGAUAAGACCCUAUAGAACUUUAAUUGUUAUAAUUAAAUAAUUUGGGUUAUUUUUAUUUAUUUUAAUUAAAUUAAUUUUAAUUGGGGCGAUUUGAAUAAUAGUUAAACUAUUCAUUAUUUUUUUUUCAUUGAUUUAUGUACUUUUUGAUCCUUUAUUAUGGAUUUAAAGAUCAAGUUACCUUAGGGAUAACAGCGCAAUUAUCUUUGAGAGUUCUUAUUGACAAGAUAGAUUGUGACCUCGAUGUUGGAUUAAGAUUAUUAUUUGGGUGUAGGGGCUCAAUUAAUUGGUCUGUUCGACCAUUAAAAUCUUACAUGAUCUGAGUUCAAACCGGUGUGAGCCAGGUUGGUUUCUAUCCAAAAUUUUUUUAUAUUUUCUAGUACGAAAGGACCGUUAAUUUUAAAUAUUUUAUUUUCGUUUGUUUAUUAUU